UCCCCUUCUCUCUCUCUCUCUCUCUCUCUCUAGGGUUUCUCUCUCUACGAGUGAAAGUCGCCGUUUUGCGCCGAUUUCACGUCCCGUUCGACGCUUGCUGGUUGGAUGAACUUGGGGUCAGCUUUUAAAAGCUGAGUUCGAGGAGGUUUUCAGCAGCUUGAGAGGAGAUGUUUAGCUGUGAAUUAACCAUCUUGGACCAGGGAUAAGCUGCUUUAAAGCUAGUUAAAGGUUUCCGAAUUAAUUUGAGCUUAUUUGGUGACCUUGGGGACUGGUCUAGAAGGUGUUUUAACUUGAGCGAGAGUGCUACCGACCUUGGGAUCACCUUCAGUUGGCAUUGGAGAGCAAUUAGAGGCUUAACUUGAGCAGGGCUGAGGCUUGAUUAAGCUAAGUUUUGGGACUCUUGUGGACUGAUUGGAGCCUAGUAAUAGAGCCAUCUACAGGAGAGGCUAGG